CCUACGGGGGGCAGCAGUCGAGAAUCAUUCACAAUGGGGGAAACCCUGAUGGUGCGACGCCGCGUGGGGGAAUGAAGGUCUUCGGAUUGUAAACUCCUGUCAUGUGGGAGCAAAUUAAAAUGAUAGUAUCACAAGAGGAAGCGACGGCUAACUCUGUGCCAGCAGCCGCGGUAAUACAGAGGUCUCAAGCGUUGUUCGGAAUCACUGGGCGUAAGGGGUGCGUAGGCUGUUUCGUAAGUUGUGUGCGAAAGGCGCGGGCUCAACCCGCGGACGGCACAUGAUACUGCGAGACUAGAGUAAUGGAGGGGGAAGCGGAAUUCUUGGUGUAGCGGUGAAAUGCGUAGAUAUCGAGAGGAACACUCGUGGCGAAGGCGGGUUCCUGGACAUUAACUGACGCUGAGGCACGAAGGCCAGGGGAGCGAAAGGGAUUAGAUACCCCUGUAGUC
rnacentral:rRNA from 1 species